rnacentral:rRNA from 1 species
AGAGUUUGAUCCUGGCUCAGGACACGCUGGCGGCGCGCUUAAUACAUGCAAGUCGAACGAGAAGCCAGAGCUUGCUCUGGUGGAAAGUGGCGAACGGGUGAGUAACACGUGAGAAACCUGCCCCAAAGAUUGGGAUAAGCCUUGGAAACGAGGUCUAAUACCAAAUACCUUCUUUUUAACACAUGUUAAAAGAAGAAAUGCUCCGGCGCUUUGGGAUGGUCUCGCGAUCUAUCAGCUUGUUGGUGAGGUAACGGCUCACCAAGGCAUCGACGGAUAGCUGGUCUGAGAGGAUGUCCAGCCACAUUGGAACUGAGACACGGUCCAAACUCCUACGGGAGGCAGCAGUAGGGAAUCUUGCACAAUGAGGGAAACCUUGAUGCAGCGACGCCGCGUGCGGGACGAAGGCCCUAGGGUUGUAAACCGCUUUCAGUAGGGACGAAAGUGACGGUACCUACAGAAGAAGCCCCGGCCAACUAUGUG